UGGGCACUCUAAGGAGACUGCCGGUGACAAACCGGAGGAAGGUGGGGAUGACGUCAAGUCAUCAUGGCCCUUAUGGCCAGGGCUACACACGUGCUACAAUGGCUAGUACAAAGGGUUGCCAACUCGCGAGAGUGCGCUAAUCCCAUAAAGCUAGUCGUAGUCCGGAUCGGAGUCUGCAACUCGACUCCGUGAAGUCGGAAUCGCUAGUAAUCGCAGAUCAGAAUGCUGCGGUGAAUACGUUCCCGGGCCUUGUACACACCGCCCGUCACACCAUGGGAGUUGGCUGC
rnacentral:rRNA from 1 species